CCUACGGGCGGCAGCAGUGAGGAAUAUUGGACAAUGGACGAGAGUCUGAACCAGCCAAGUAGCGUGAAGGAUGACUGCCCUAUGGGUUGUAAACUUCUUUUAUAAAGGAAUAAAACGAGGCAAGUGUGCCUUUUUGCAUGUACUUUAUGAAUAAGGAUCGGCUAACUCCGUGCCAGCAGCCGCGGUAAUACGGAGGAUCCGAGCGUUAUCCGGAUUUAUUGGGUUUAAAGGGAUCUUAGAUGGGUUGUUAAGUCAGUGUGGAAAGUGUUCGGUUCAACCGUAAAAUUGAAAGUUAUACUGGCAGUCUUGAGUACAGUUGAGGUAGGUGGAAUUCGUGGUGUAGCGGUGAAAUGCUUAGAUAUUACGAAGAACCCCGAUUGCGAAGGCAGCUUACUAAACUGUGACUGACAUUGAUGCUCGAAAGUGUGGGUAUCAAACAGGAUUAGAUACCCUGGUAGUC
rnacentral:rRNA from 1 species